UACGUAGGGUGCAGGCGCUAAUCGGAAUUACUGGGCGUUAAGCGUGCGCAGGCGGUCUUUUAAGUCAGAUGUGAAAUCCCCGGGCUUAACCUGGGAACUGCGUUUGAAACUGAAAGGCUAGAGUGUGGCAGAGGGGGGUGGAAUUCCACGUGUAGCGGUGAAAUGCGUAGAUAUCUGGAGGAACACCGGUGGCGAAGGCGGCAUCCUGGACCGGUAUUGACGCUGAGGCGCGAAAGCUAGGGGAGCAAACGGG
rnacentral:rRNA from 1 species